CCUACGGGGUGCUGCAGUAGGGAAUCUUCCACAAUGGGCGAAAGCCUGAUGGAGCAACGCCGCGUGGGUGAAGAAGGUCUUCGGAUCGUAAAACCCUGUUGUUAGAGAAGAAAGUGCGUGAGAGUAACUGUUCACGUUUCGACGGUAUCUAACCAGCAAGCCACGGCUAACUACGUGCCAGCAGCCGCGGUAAUAAGUAGGUGGCAAGCGUUAUCCGGAUUUAUUGGGCGUAAAGGGAACGCAGGCGGUCUUUUAAGUCUGAUGUGAAAGCCUUCGGCUUAACCGGAGUAGUGCAUUGGAAACUGGGAGACUGGAGUGCAGAAGAGGAGAGUGGAACUCCAUGUGUAGCGGUGAAAUGCGUAGAUAUAUGGAAGAACACCAGUGGCGAAAGCGGCUCUCUGGUCUGUAACUGACGCUGAGGUUCGAAAGCGUGGGUAGCAAACAGGAUUAGAUACCCUUGUAGUC
rnacentral:rRNA from 1 species